rnacentral:rRNA from 1 species
AUGAGGAACCAAGGGCAGCCGCCUGCUAAUGACAUGGAUAAAGUUCAGAUCAUGAAUAACGGCAUUACAAGUGAACUUGGCACAAUUACACAUGUCCUGAACCUCAUAGAAUCUGACACCAUUGGCAUGCAAGACAACAAGUUCAUCUGCGGCAGCUAUCGCUGUGAGCAGUCCGUCCGCGACGCGCUCCGCAGCGUCUUCGUUGGGCACAACGAGAUCCUCAACGUCUGA